rnacentral:rRNA from 1 species
CAUCACGUCAUUGCCUUAGUAGCGGCGAGUGAAGCGGCAAAAGCUCAAAUUUGAAAUCUGGCUCUUUCAGAGUCCGAGUUGUAAUUUGAAGAAGGUAUCUUUGGGUCUGGCUCUUGUCUAUGUUUCUUGGAACAGAACGUCACAGAGGGUGAGAAUCCCGUGCGAUGAGAUGAUCCAGGCCUAUGUAAAGUUCCUUCGAAGAGUCGAGUUGUUUGGGAAUGCAGCUCUAAGUGGGUGGUAAAUUCCAUCUAAAGCUAAAUAUUGGCGAGAGACCGAUAGCGAACAAGUACAGUGAUGGAAAGAUGAAAAGAACUUUGAAAAGAGAGUGAAAAAGUACGUGAAAUUGUUGAAAGGGAAGGGCUUGAGAUCAGACUUGGUAUUUUGUAUGUUACUUCUUCGGGGGUGGCCUCUACAGUUUAUCGGGCCAGCAUCAGUUUGGGCGGUAGGAGAAUUGCGUUGGAAUGUGGCACGGCUUCGGUUGUGUGUUAUAGCCUUCGUCGAUACUGCCAGCCUAGACUGAGGACUGCGGUUUAUACCUAGGAUGUUGGCAUAAUGAUCUUAAGUCGCCCGUCUUGAACA